UUUUUUGUUUGGAGACCCGCUAUCUACAUACAAAAUACCCGUUUCUAUUUUUUGGGGUAUUUUUAGGGCCUGAAACUUUUUAUCCAAACUGACCCAAACCCAACUAGACCCGACCCGAACCAUAACCGAAUAUUUCGAAUUAUUUUAUUGGGUAGUAAAUCAUAUACCAUUAAUCCUAAACCCGAACGGGUUCUACCCAAACUCGAAUGGGUUACUCAUAUGUCCAACCCUAUUCUCUAAUUUAAUUAUCUAAAAACUUCCAAAAAAAAUAUAUGUUUUGCUGACUACUUUUUAUUCGAAAAAUUUUACAUCCUCUUCUACCAAAAUCAUUUCAUAAGACAUCGCAAAACCCUUGGAAUAAUGAUUUCAUGAAUGAAGAAUCCUAAUUUGAAUAUAUCAAGAAAUUUUGAAAGGUUUUAAGUUUUUGAUAGGUAUGUAUGUGAGAAGGUAUAUGAUAUUAUUUUAUUUGAUUUUAAAUGUAUGAUAUUAUUUUAUUUGAUUUUAAAUGUAUAGUCAACUGCGAUUUGUAUAUGUUUUGUUGAUAUUAUUUAUGUUGUU
rnacentral:sRNA from 1 species